CAUUUUUAGUUCUGCAGGAUGUUGAUAUUGAUGAGGAGGUUGAUGUUAUAAUUUCAGAGUGGAUGGGAUACAUGCUUCUGUAUGAGAGGUUGGAAGUGUCAUUACAGCGAGAGAUCGCUAGCUAAAACCUGGAGGUGUUAUACUUCCUUCAAAUGCAAUGUUGUACAUAGCACCUAUCACACAUGUUGAUAGAUAAAGUGAAAGCAUUGAUUUCUGGCAGAAUGUUUAUGGAAUUGAUAGUUUCAUAGCUAUGCAUGCCACACUUGCCAGUCGCAAUGUGGACUGUUGUUUGAUUCCAGAUUCCCCCUUAUUUCUUGAAGGACGAGGUGGACUUUUUGAGUUCAUUGAAGAACGACUCAGAAAAUGGACAUAUGGUUAUUGUGAUUGCUGAGGGAGCAGGACAGGAUCUUCUUUCAGAGAGCUUGUAAUCCAUGAACCAGCAAGAUGCUUCAGGAAACAAGCUACUAAAAGACGUUGGGUUAUGGAUAUCUCAGAGGAUCAAGGUGUUACUCGCAAUCUGUAGAAUUAGUGCUUGGGAGCUUCCAAAGCUAGACUCCAAUGAGGCCAUGAGAGCAGCAAAGCUAGACUCCCUAAGUAAAUUUCUGGAUGUAUAUUGCUAGGAGAGUAGUAUUAGAUGUACUCCUUUUGUAGAUGAAAGAUUACCUUUGCACAAUUUAUUUUGGUGCAUGAU